GAGUUUGAUCCUGGCUCAGAUUGAACGCUGGCGGCAUGCCUUACACAUGCAAGUCGAACGGCAGCACGGGAGCUUGCUCCUGGUGGCGAGUGGCGAACGGGUGAGUAAUGCAUCGGAACGUAUCCUGGAGUGGGGGAUAACGUAGCGAAAGUUACGCUAAUACCGCAUAUUCUGUGAGCAGGAAAGCGGGGGACCUUCGGGCCUCGCGCUCUUGGAGCGGCCGAUGUCGGAUUAGCUAGUUGGUGAGGUAAAGGCGUCACCAAGGCGACGAUCCGUAGCAGGUCUGAGAGGAUGAUCUGCCACACUGGAACUGAGACACGGUCCAGACUCCUACGGAGGCAGCAGUGGGAAUUUUGGACAAUGGGGGCAACCCUGAUCCAGCCAUGCCGCGUGAGUGAAGAAGGCCUCGG
rnacentral:rRNA from 1 species